rnacentral:lncRNA from 1 species
CUGAUGCCUACUGAAGGGGUAAAAUACUAAUAAGAUUGUUUGUUCUGAUUUUGCAAUUUUUUUAAAUUAUUUUUGUGUGAACAGAUAAGCAUUAUCACAUCCCUACACCACACAAACAGAUUAAAUCAAAAUCUCAGUGGUCUUCUAACAGCAAGUAGGGCUUUGAAAAAGAAAGUGCUAUCAAGGCAGUAUUAUAGAUAGGUAACUAGCUGCAGGGAGGUUCACAAGGGGAAAGGACCAUACUCUCUGUGGCAUUCCCCUUUCCUACACACAUGCACAUCCUUUUUGUCCUCCAUUCCUUCUGCAUAUGCACAUACAUACACAUACAUCCCUCUUCCAUUCCCUCCAGGAAACCCCAAACCCUAAAAUGAUACCACAGAUCCUUAUCAACUUCAGCAUAGUCAAGUUGAGGAAGAAUUCCAGACGAGUUUCAGAGGAAAUGUGGCUACAGAGGCCAUUUCUAAGGAGACCAGAGAGCCAUGAAAAAACAUAAGGUGUUUUCAUGACUGAAAAUCUUUUGCAUCAUUUCAUUAAGAGAAACCUCUUCUGCAUCUAAGGGCAUAAUUUAAUAGACAUUCCAUGAUGAGAACCAUGUGAUAUUCCCAGUCAUACAGAUAAAAGUAUUCUACAAUGAAAGAGCGCUAAAUAUAGUGCAAUCCUUUCUUCAUCUAAAUCAAAAAGCUUAGAAUAAUAUACUUGAAAUUCUAAACAGUUUUUCCCAUUUCCUUAGAAAUGUUCGCUAUACUAAAAAAAGUUAUUGUUGACAAUAUACCAAUUCAGAUUCCAUUUUAAGACUUAAUAAACUAAUUUUGAAUGAAUGAAUUUUGAAUGAAUUAUUUACAAAUAGGUCGUGGAUCUCCGUGGAAAUGCUCUGACAACCCUUCUACCACAGAUACUAAUCAAUUUGAACAUAUUUCAACUUGGAGUGAAUUCAUCAAAUAAUCCCCGGAUAUGUAACUGCAGACUAAAUGCUUUCAAACAUUUAAUUCGUUUUGACUCAAUAAGGAAAAAAUGGAAUAUUUCAUACAAUAAAUCUGCCAACAUCUCACAAAAACCUCUCCUGCCUCUUUCAAGUUUCCAUUUAAACUGCAAUGACAGUGUUUCAAUUAAAACAACUGUAAUCCCAACAGGAAAGACGUCUGUGCUAAACUGUGACUUGGAUAACACAAGGGGUAAUGGGGUCUCUUGGUGGACACCUACUGGCAGAAUUUCAAAAGAUAUUAGUCUUCCUCACAUGACACUGGA